GCNCUGUUUCGUAACUUCGGGAGAAGGGGUAAAGCACUGUUUCGUAACUUCGGGAGAAGGGGUAAAGCACUGUUUCGUAACUUCGGGAGAAGGGSUARAGCANCUGUUUCGGCCCCUAACUUCGGGAKAAGKGGWAAAGCACUGUKWSGUAACUUYGRAACAAGSGGNAGGUUNGNUUAGAAGCAGCUAUUUCCUUGAAAAGAGUGCGUAAUAGCUCACUGGUAAAGCGUUCUUGCGCCGACAAUGGCCGGGACUAANGCAGCCUGCCGAAGCUAUGGGAUUUGUAUAUUUCUUUUUCUCGCCAUUUCUGUCCCCUCCACCCUCUGGGGUAGAGGGCGGCGUGGAAUUACGAACUCCACCAUACCUUUGGGUAUGGUAGAGGAGAAGGAAAAGAGAAUUGAACGAAUCGGUAGGGGAGCGUUCUGCAUUGGGUGAAGCUGAAACGUAAGUUUUUGUGGACGAUGCGGAAGUGAGAAUGUCGGCUUGAGUAACGAAAACAUUGGUGAGAAUCCAAUGCCCCGAAAACCUAAGGGUUCCUCUACAAGGUUCGUCCGUGGGGGGUGAGUCNGGACGUNAGGCGAGGCCGAGCGGCGUANUCGAUGGAAAACNGGUURAUAUUCCUGURCWGAGUUUCNGUAACUUMGGGACGAAGAARGSUAAANNGGSWCUGUUUMKKAACUUCGGGAGAAGGSRUAAAGCACUGUUUCGNUAACUUCGGGAGAAGGGGUAAAGCACUGUUUCGUAACUUCGGGAGAAGGGGUAAAGCACUGUUUCGUAACUUCGGGAGAAGGGGUAAAGCACUGUUUCGUAACUUCGGGAGAAGGGGUAAAGCACUGUUUCGUAACUUCGGGAGAAGGGGUAAAGCACUGUUUCGUAACUUCGGGAGANAGGGGUAAAGCACU
rnacentral:rRNA from 1 species